CGCGGGGUGGAGCAGUGGAAGCUCGUCGGGCUCAUAACCCGAAGGUCCUUGGUUCGAAUCCAAGCCCCGCUA
rnacentral:tRNA from 1 species